rnacentral:lncRNA from 1 species
GGAUCCAGCACCCCUAAUUUGCGGCAUCCCCGGGGGAAGGAAGACCCAACGUUUCGGGGCCGUUUUUAUGAAUGAACGAGCUCCCGCUCACGCAGAAGGGGCGGCGCCGCGAUGCACGCGAAGAAGGGUGCGCUAUCCGCUCGCUGCGCCGGCCGCGAGGAUGCACCGAGGCCGAGGGGGUCUCUCUGCGCAUGCGCCGCCGUCGCCGAGCAGCGAAUGCCCGCGCAGUCUUCAAAUCGUCGCUACACGCGUCGCCCAACGGACCUACCUUAGCGUGAUUCUCGCUCUCGGCUCUCGCUCGAACGAAAUACGAUCGAAACAUUUCGAAAAAAUUCUGUGUGUGUUUUUUUCCCGAAUAAUAUCAUCAAACUUUGUACAUUUUUCCUGGUUCAUUUUCCUCGGCGUGCGCUUUCGGUUUCAAAACCGAUAGUCCUAGCGUUUUCGGUUGUGUGUGUCGGUUUUUGUUUCGGUUUUGUAGUUUUUUUGUGUGUUUUUGUGGUUUUUGGAAAAAACGCUUAACUUUGUGGAUACUCUGUGGUUUCGAGCAGUGGGUUUGUCCGCAGCUAUGCGGCUUACUCUCUCCUGAAUCAGUAUCAGGGACUGUUUUCCAUCUUGGAUUUCUCGGUUGAGAUGCGGUAGCCCGGAUGGCGAUGGGUGAAUUCCGGCGGACGCACUCCAAGGUCUGGUGGUCGCACUACCCCUCGGACGACGGCGACGACGAGGACGGGCCCUCCGGCUCGGGGGCGGGUCACCCGUGGGGCCCGGGGGCGGCCCCCUCGCCGCACUGGGGCCCCGGCCUCUCCCUGAGCGGCAUCGGCGAGCGCCGCUUCUCCAGCAGCCCGAGCAGCGGCUCGCACAAGUCCCAGGACUCCGGCUUCUCCGACUCCGAGUCCAGCUCCCCCUCCGGCAGCACCCGCAGCACCAGCGGCACCAAGAUCAACAAGAGCCCCCUCAAAGAGGAGGAAGACGAGGCUCGCGAUGACGUCAGCGAUGGGGUUCGAGAUGACGUAAGUGAUGGAGUCAGGGAUGACGUCAGUGAUGGAGUCAGGGAUGACGUCAGUGAUGGUGUCAGGGAUGACGUCAGUGAUGGAGUCAGGGAUGACGUCAGUGAUGGGAGCACGCCCGAGCCCAAGUUCGUGGACCCGAUGCUCCUGCGCAUUCCCCUCUCGAGGAUACCCCGCGUUUGCCUCGCUCACAAGUCCAAGCCGGACCCCGAGGCCGAGUCCAAGAUCGCCCCCAACGAGAAUAUCAUACUCGAUAUCAAGGAGGAGGUGAGCCAGGACGAGCUGACGCGUCGCUACAAGACGGAGCCGCGGAAAUGCGAGUCGAGCUACCAGCGCCACUCGGUCUCCCUCGAGCUCCACAGCUCCCCGUUCCAGUUCCAGUUACCGCCCAAGUUCAACAGCAUGGAGUGUCUCCUCAACGAGCAGAACCUCUUCUCCAGCACCAGGAACACCCCCCGGCGUCGCUCCAGCCUCACCGACGAGUCGGACGCCUCGCCGCCGCCCUCCCCGAAACCCGUCCGCAAGUCCACCUGCAAGAUCGUCGAAGAAAUACCAAAGAAAUCCUUCCUCCAGGCCCUCAACGCCUCCAGGCUCGACUCCAGCGAGAAGGAAAACAUCCAACCCAACCUCAAUACCUCCGCGGAGAAGAACUCAAAUUUGAGUCGUCCCUUGGAAAAGACCUCCAAUAAAAGUCUCCUCAUCGGAAAGAACCUUAGGGAAUGUAGACCUUGUGAGGAAAACUCUAACGAGAGUCAUCCAGCGAUAGCUUUACGGAAUGUAGACCUUGUGUGAAGAACUCUAACGAGAGCCAUCCCAGCGAUAGCUUUACGGAAUGUAGGCCUUGUGGAAAGAACUCCAGUGAGAGUCAACCCAGCGAGGAAGAAUGCAGACCGUGCGAAGAGAACUCCAGUGAGAGUCAUUCCACUGGAAAAGAAUGUCUUUCCUGCGAGAAGAAUUCCCCCGGUGGAAAGAACUCCAGUGAAAGUCAGUCUUGCGAAACCCAAGAGGGUGAAGGUGAUGCUUGCGACAAGACCGCCUCGGCCGAGAAGGACCCCUGGGUGACCUCGCAAGUCGUGGAGAGCGGCUGGAAGGAGAGCUUCAGGGAAGAGAUCCAAGAGAAGACCGCUAAGUACAAAGAAACCGUGUUCUGCGGGAAGGUUUCGACGAGUGAUAAGACUUCUAGUGAUAACGAGCGGACGGGCCGCUACUCGAGCAUCAUCCAGAUCACCGCGGAGCGGACGAGCGUCUGCGACCGGGUCACCGAGGGCUUGGAGCGGAUACCGGAGGAGAGCCCGACCUCGACGUCGAGCGAGGAGACGGUCCGCUUCAUCGGGAACAUCGACCUCUCGAAGACGGAGGAGCGGGACGAGCGGAACGUGGCGACGGGCGAGGACAAGGACAAGACCUCGAAGAGCAACCUGUCGUGGUCGCCGAUCAAGUCGGAGACGGAGGAGGUGGACGGGUCGCCGAACAAGACGGUGGUCUUCGGGGCGGUGAGCGAGCUCCCGGGGGCGCCCUCGCAUACGUCCACGCCCAAGGGCGUCCCGGCGCCCAACAGGGCCCGGCGGGACCAGCGGCGCCUCAGCCGCAAGGGGCUUUUCCUCCAGCAGGAGACCAAGAGGUAAGCAGAUCUCGUUCCCGCUUGUUUUGGAGCCGGGUUAGAGGCUGGGAAUGUGACGACAGGAUGCAA